rnacentral:misc_RNA from 1 species
GAUGAAGAACGUAGCGAAAUGCGAUAAGUAAUGUGAAUUGCAGAAUUCAGUGAAUCAUCGAAUCUUUGAACGCACAUUGCGCCCGCCAGCAUUCUGGCGGGCAUGCCUGUUCGAGCGUCAUUUCAACCCUCAAGCUCUGCUUGGUGUUGGGGCCCUACGGUUGACGUAGGCCCUUAAAGGUAGUGGCGGACCCUCUCGGAGCCUCCUUUGCGUAGUAACUAACGUCUCGCAUUGGGAUUCGGAGGGACUCUUGCCGUAAAACCCCCAAAUUUUCUAAUGGUUGACCUCGGAUCAGGUAGGAAUACCCGCUGAACUUAAGCAUAUCAAUAGGCGGAGGA